rnacentral:rRNA from 1 species
AACGAACGCUGGCGGCAGGCUUAACACAUGCAAGUCGAACGCACCUUUCGGGGUGAGUGGCAGACGGGUGAGUAACGCGUGGGAAUCUACCCUUCUCUACGGGAUAGCUCCGGGAAACUGGAAUUAAUACCGUAUACGUCCUGAGGGAGAAAGAUUUAUCGGGGAAGGAUGAGCCCGCGUUGGAUUAGCUAGUUGGUGGGGUAAAGGCCUACCAAGGCGACGAUCCAUAGCUGGUCUAAGAGGAAGAUCAGCCACAUUGGGACUGAGACACGGCCCAAACUCCUACGGGAGGCAGCAGUGGGGAAUAUUGGACAAUGGGCGCAAGCCUGAUCCAGCCAUGCCGCGUGAGUGAUGAAGGCCCUAGGGUUGUAAAGCUCUUUCAGUGGGGACGAUAAUGACGGUACCCACAGAAGAAGCCCCGGCUAACUUCGUG